GAAUGUGGGUUUGACAAGUUGUGACAACUAUCAUCUCUCUGAUAAUCAGGGUUGAUUUGGUCUAAUCUGGCUAUCUAGGUGGGUGUUCCCUUCUUCCUUCACUGCUUCACGUGCAUCCCUUUAGAAGUUGCUCAAAUUAAAAAGGACCUUUCUUUGGUCCAGGGUAUAGGACGAGCCUGCACAUAUACGUCAGUGCAAGCUCUCAAAGGGUUUGAAUCAUUGGCUUAUCCAC
rnacentral:sRNA from 1 species